AUUAUUUGUUACUAAUAUUAAAUAUGAAAGUCAUGACUGUAGAAGACAUAUCCAUACACAGAAGAGUAUAUAUUUAUGCGUUAUUUAUAUAUAUAUAUCUUCUUAUCUGAUAUGUGAUUUAGUUUGUUAAAUAUGUGUUUUGUAGCUUUUCUCUACAAAUUCGAAGCUAUAAUCUUACAUUAAUAGGAUAAUUUGUGCUAGAUAGUUACUUUUGCAAAGACUUUAGGGGAACAAUAGUUUAUCCAUAAUAUAUAGAAAUAAAGCCAUAUAUUUGGCUGUUAAAUCGUAAAUAGAUUGACAGUACUGGUGUUUGCUAUUCCCUUCCAUGUCGAAAGAUGUAUAUAUAAUUCUCUGAAGAAGAUAUAAUGUCAAGAUUAAUAAUUUUAUAGAUUAUGUUAUUAACUGCAUUGCUUGUUUGAGAGAUGUAAUUUUUUUUAUUAAAAAUGUUUUCACUUUCUAAACAGGCACUCUUUUAGUAGCAAAAGAAUUAUAAUGUUGUGAAUUUAACAGCAUUAUAUGGAUCAACAUUUCAAGAAUAUUUUUCAGAGAUCCAUAAUAAUCAUUGUUGUAUUUAUUUAUUUAUUUGUUUAUUGACCCUUUAUUGUAGUUGUUAUGGAUUUGAAAACUAACUUAUUAUAUCACUACAGAAGAAAAAUUAAACUGGUGUUCUGCCAAUAUUACAAAGUAGCAUAUGAUUUGGCUUUCAAUUUUAUGUCAAGGAUUUCAUGUGGAACAAAUUAACUAGUAUAUACACAAGGAGAUAGGCAACAUAUCAUUUUUCUUUCAGGUGAGAUUAUGUUAUAGUAUAUAUGUUGUGUAAUUUAUGUUUAAUUCCUCUUGCUGUUGUGGAUCCCUUUCUGCUGCAAGACAAUGCAGAGUGGAAUUUCGAUAAAUAAAUUAUAGUGACAUUUUAUGUUUUGCUGCUGAUUCUUAUAUUUGGUCUAGUUGUUGUCUAGUGUUUUGUCUUUUGGAUAGUCCUUUUGUCUUGAGCAUGUUAUCCCCAUUAGGUAAGUAUUUAUUUUUUCUUUAUUUUAUUGUGACAUGUUCUUAGACGUAGUUUUGAAUUUCGAAAGAAUUAGUAGAUAUAUUUUGAUUUUGCUCAUUAAUAGCCAUACAAUUAUUACUUGUUUUUAUUUGUAGUGACAAUUGAAAAUUAUGAUAUGUUCUUGGUGGAAGGGCUCUUCAACACCUUCCCUCGAGAGACUUUGACAAUAGAGAUAUAGUAUGGUUGAUGUGCUUAGAGAUCAUCUUUCAAUCUGGUUCCCAAAGGACAGUUCAAGCUCUACUAGCAUCACACAACUGAGAUCAUGCCUUUUAGAUAAUCUUCGAAGAGUUUGAGGGGUGUGUGCUUCCAACUUCCGAGUUGGAGCUAGAUUAGGGGCUUCUCAUUUUUUUUUUUAGUUGCUAGUUUUCUUUGUUUUUUAUUUUUUGUGUAGUUUGGUUUACAACUUUGAUUCAUGGAGUUUGCUUUUGUAGUUUCUGGUUUAGAUUUUGUAUAUUUCAAGAUAGGCAAGAAUUACAUUGUAAUUGUAACUUUUAUGUAAUGAAUAAAUGCCUUUAAUAUUAUUUAAAUAUA